rnacentral:rRNA from 1 species
AUUGAACGCUGGCGGCAUGCCUUACACAUGCAAGUCGAACGGCAGCACGGGUGCUUGCACCUGGUGGCGAGUGGCGAACGGGUGAGUAAUACAUCGGAACAUGUCCUGUAGUGGGGGAUAGCCCGGCGAAAGCCGGAUUAAUACCGCAUACGAUCUACGGAUGAAAGCGGGGGACCUUCGGGCCUCGCGCUAUAGGGUUGGCCGAUGGCUGAUUAGCUAGUUGGUGGGGUAAAGGCCUACCAAGGCGACGAUCAGUAGAUGGUCUGAGAGGACGACCAGCCAAACCUGGACUGAGACACGGCCCAGACUCCUACGGGAGGCAGCAGUGGGGAAUUUUGGACAAUGGGCGAAAGCCUGAUCCAGCAAUGCCGCGUGUGUGAAGAAGGCCUUCGGGUUGUAAAGCACUUUUGUCCGGAAAGAAAUCCUUGGCUCUAAUACAGUCGGGGGAUGACGGUACCGGAAGAAUAAGCACCGGCUAACUACGUG